rnacentral:rRNA from 1 species
ACGAACGCUGGCGGCGUGCUUAACCCCUGCAAGUCGAACGGAAAGGCCCUGCUUUUGUGGGGUGCUCGAGUGGCGAACGGGUGAGUAACACGUGAGUAACCUGCCCUUGACUUUGGGAUAACUUCAGGAAACGGGGGCUAAUACCGGAUAGGAGCUCCUGCUGCAUGGUGGGGGUUGGAAAGUUUCGGCGGUUGGGGAUGGACUCGCGGCUUAUCGGCUUGUUGGUGGGGUAGUGGCUUACCAAGGCUUUGACGGGUAGCCGGCCUGAGAGGGUGACCGGCCACAUUGGGACUGAGAUACGGCCCAGACUCCUACGGGAGGCAGCAGUGGGGAAUAUUGCACAAUGGGCGGAAGCCUGAUGCAGCAACGCCGCGUGCGGGAUGACGGCCUUCGGGUUGUAAACCGCUUUCGCCUGUGACGAAGCGUGAGUGACGGUAAUGGGUAAAGAAGCACCGGCUAACUACGUG